GCAGGACCUCGCUGCCCCGGAACCCCCGCAGGCCUCUAAGGUUCUCCGUCCCCGCCUGCCCCCGACAGGAGGGAAACUGAGGCCCUUGGGGUCGGGGAGUGCAGGUCAGCUCCAAGCCCAGGCCCACUCUGGGUUCUGAGCCGGUUCCCUCCGCUGCAUGUGGACCUCUCUGCACUCCUGUUCUUGACAAAGGGGCCUCGGGUCACCGCACUACCGGCCGGCGCCGUUUUGGAGCGUCGGGUCCCGGGACUCGCCCGGUGGGGAGACUUGGGCCCACCGACGGCGAGAAGCGGGUCCGGGGAUGCGUGGGCCCAAGGUCUCGCAGGGAAGUUCGUGCGGAGCCGGUGUGAACCGCACCCGCGCUGCGCCAGAGGCCCCCGAUCACAUCCCAUCACCUCCGACUCCAACGUUUCAUCCCCUGAAGCCGCUUGUCGGUUGCCGGGCAAAUAUCUUCGUGACCAUUAGCCCAUUUUCCCUCGGUUAACUUCUAAGGCCAGUACCUGAGUGUCAUCUGCUCAGUGCCUGGCAGGUGUCUGGUGCGCAGCAGCUGUGGAACAAUUGCCCAGCAGGAGAGGACAGGACAGACACAUCCCAGUGAGGUGGUGUGGCCCAUCAUGUCAUGGAGAAUCAGAGAAAGACUGCUUGUGGCCAGCCAGCCUGGGGAGAGGUGGAGGAUCCAGCUUCCAGAAUCUGUAUGGAGUCAUCUGAGUUUGCACAAAAGAUAUCUGAAAAGCCGUCUCUGUGUCAGGUGCAGAUGAGCUGUUGUCCUGUGUGGAGUAAUGAACUUCUGUCCUGGGAAUAAAAGGUGUGGCUCGUGGGUUGGGAACACAGCCCACCUUUGUGAAGCAGCCAGCAUCUCCGAGAACCCAGGCACUCUGCCUGGAUUCCAGGACACGUGGUGACCAGGUGGCAUCCAGGUUGCUCAUCCAGGGCUUCUUGAUCAUUGAAGAGGAAGCAGCACGGUGCACAGGGGUCCCUGAGAGGUGUCCCCAUCCUGUCAAGAGACAGCUGGCCCAGACGAGUCCACUGCGUGCAGAGGCGUCAUGGAAGCUGUCAUGUCAGGAGCAUUCUAGACCGCACUGUCCUUGAGAUGUUGGCUUGAAGAAAGGCAAGGUAACAUUGGAGAGCAAACCCUUGUCGUGACCUCCUGCCCUGUGACCUCCCCAUCACGCUGGGGGUGCUGCCUUGGAGGACACCUCGGGGAUGGGAGCAUUGGCCUCUCAGGAUGGUGACCUGGGUUCCAACUCCCCUGGAGGAGCCUCCUCAUGGUUGUUUUGGGUCUGAUCACAGACACUGGCAUAGCAGACUGAAGAGGGUUGUUGCUGCAUGACCACCGCCAGACCUUCUUUUCCUGUUGCCUCAGCACAGUAUGGAAGGACUUGGCCCCAUGUGACCAGGUCAGGGGCCUGCUAAGGCCUGAGACCCUGGGACUUGGGACCUUGGGAUUCACAGCCGGAGACCUUCAGCUGGCUCUGCCCCCGCCCCUCAGCAGGUGCCACAGGGCACGGCAGACCCAGAAGACUGGUUUCCUUCCAUCUGGACCAGGUCCUCCAGUGGCCUCCAUGUCCCCCUCUCUGCUCCUGGUGUAACUUUUAGAACCAAGAGUUCCUGUUGGAGGUGUCUCUGCUGGGCAUCUUGUCCUCUCACCCACUUCAAUAAAUCUUGAAACUGC